UACGUAGGGGGCAAGCGUUGUCCGGAAUCAUUGGGCGUAAAGGGCUCGUAGGCGGCCAACUAAGUCAUACGUGAAAUCCCUCAGCUUAACUGGGGAACUGCGUGUGAUACUGGAUGGCUUGGAUUUGGGAGAGGGAUGCGGAAUUCCAGGUGUAGCGGUGAAAUGCGUAGAUAUCUGGAGGAACACCGGUGGCGAAGGCGGCAUCCUGGACCAAUAUUGACGCUGAGGAGCGAAAGCCAGGGGAGCAAACGGG
rnacentral:rRNA from 1 species